rnacentral:tRNA from 4 species
GCCGCUUUAGCUCAGUUGGUAGAGCAUCGCAUUCGUAAUGCGGGGGCCAGAGGUUCGAAUCCUCUAAGCGGCACCA